GUGCUCACUUCAGCAGCACAUAUAGUAAAAUUGAAACGAUACAGAGAUUAACAUGACCCUUUGCACGAGGAUGACAGAAAAAUUAGUGAAGUGUUCCAUAUUAAA
ensembl:snRNA U6 U6 spliceosomal RNA